CCUACGGGAGGCAGCAGUCGGGAAUAUUGCGCAAUGGAGGAAACUCUGAAGCAGUGACGCCGCGUGCAGGAAGAAGGUUUUCGGAUUGUAAACUGCUUUAGACAGGGAAGAAAAAAGACAGUACCUGUAGAAUAAGCUCCGGCUAACUACGAGCAAGCAGCCGCGGUAAUACGUAGGGAGCAAGCGUUAGCCGGAUUUAUUGGGUGUAAGGGGUGCGUAAACGGGAAAACAAGUUAGUUGUGAAAUCCCUCAGCUUAACUGAGGAACUGCAACUAAAACUAUUUUUCUUGAGUGCUGGAGAGGAAAGUGGAAUUCAUAGUGUAGCGGUGAAAUGCGUAGAUAUUAGGCGGAACACCAGUGGCGAAGGCGACUUUCUGGACAGUAACUGACGUUGAGGCUCGAAAGCGUGGGGAGCAAACAGGAUUAGAUACCCUAGUAGUC
rnacentral:rRNA from 1 species